AGCGAACGCUGGCGGCAGGCUUAACACAUGCAAGUCGAGCGGGCAUCUUCGGAUGUCAGCGGCAGACGGGUGAGUAACACGUGGGAACGUACCCUUCGGUUCGGAACAACUCUGGGAAACUGGAGCUAAUACCGGAUACGCCCUUAUGGGGAAAGGUUUACUGCCGAAGGAUCGGCCCGCGUCUGAUUAGCUAGUUGGUGGGGUAACGGCCUACCAAGGCGACGAUCAGUAGCUGGUCUGAGAGGAUGAUCAGCCACACUGGGACUGAGACACGGCCCAGACUCCUACGGGAGGCAGCAGUGGGGAAUAUUGGACAAUGGGCGCAAGCCUGAUCCAGCCGUGCCGCGUGAGUGAUGAAGGCCUUAGGGUUGUAAAGCUCUUUUGUCCGGGACGAUAAUGACGGUACCGGAAGAAUAAGCCCCGGCUAACUUCGUG
rnacentral:rRNA from 1 species